UUUUUUGUGGCACUUUUCGUGUUUUUUUUGAAGGAGGCUCCGCUGCUACAAUGGUUCUCUUCAGCAACACACACACACUUCCCUGCUGUCGUGACCAACCCACAGUGAGGUCAGCGGGUGGAGUCCACAGAGCGAGAGGGGAAAAACUGUAGAAGGGAAGUAAACAAUCAUUUUUAAUCAUGUUGAUUAACUGUUUCCAUGUGUCUGCAUUAUGUAUACACCCUGUGUGUCACCCUAACCUUUAACUGAAGAAGUAAUAUCAAUUACACUAAAAGCAGGAGAUUGAGGCAAUCUGUUUUCUGUUUUCUGUUUAGUGACAUGUGACGACGUUGUCAACAAUUACCAGUUCAGUUGAGAAUCAGAGUCAAAGGAAUUUAGAUAAAUGAUUCAUGUAUGUCUAAAUUUACAAGAAUGAAGUUGAAUGUGUGUCAUUUUAAUUUUACAAGGUGAAUAAACAUGUCUUAUUUUAGACUUAUCUAUUCCUAUAUUUUACAUUAAUCAGUUUUUUUUUUAUCCGUUACCAUGCUUUCUGUUCUAUGUGUAAAUAAAAACACUUUUAAAAAACACAGCUUUUAAUGUGCUGCACAUGGUUGAAAUACAGACAAACACUCUUUCCUUGUUGUAUUUCUUUUACUUUUUCUGAUCUGAAAUCAGCAUCACUGUUGAGGCCUUAUAGCCAUAACAUUAAAAGCAGGACAGAGAGGGAGCGGUGUGUGUAUACGUCCAUACGUGUGUGUGUGUGUGUGUGUGUAUAUAUUUAUCAGAUUUACAUUAGCAUGCAGUAUGACGUUUCAUCUAUCCAGAUUUUACAGAGUCUUAUUUGUGGCUAUGUCUUUUAUUUACAGAAGGAGUUGAGCUAUUACACACACACACACACACACACACACACACACACACACACAGACAGAAAUAGCAAUACAUUCUAAAGAAACAACUGUCUGGAACAAUCAUUGAAUAUAAUCAUUUCAAUAAAAUGAUGUGGGAAAAAGAGACAUAAAUGUGCAAAUGUCACCAAGCACAUACAAGCCACACCAUUAUGUCCAACUUCUAAAUCUGUCUAAGGCAGAAAUUAAAUAAGAAACAAUUCAUAAAUGAAUAAACCCCAUGAUCCUGAAGUAUCUAAACAUUUGGCACUACUUAAAUAAUGAUCUACAACUACUUCCUCUGAUGGCCCACAGCUCUGAGAAAUUAACUGUGUUGAAAAGAAAAGAAAAACAAUAAAGAAUACACAUUUACUUUAUUGACGUCUCCUCGUGGGAUCUCCUUUAAAAAUGCAAUAAAGCUCAGCUCACAAUUCACCCCUCAGUAACUGAUUGUUGCCUCAGACCAACAACAGCUAAUGAAGAGAGACAAGACACACAGCAGUUAUAUGUGUGAAGUCAAUGUCCAUCCAUUUUUCAGAAGGAGUGUGUGUGUGUGUGUGUGUGUGUGUGUGUGUGUGUGUGUUGCAUUUUGUUUUACACCUUUAUUUCCUCUAUUGCAGAAAGAUUUGUUCUAUCCAAAUUUUCUUUUUUAAUACAUUUUGGCUGGAUUUUAUUUUUGGAGCUCAUGUGUGUUUUAUGUUCAGUGUCUUGAUGAUUUCGACUAUAAGAUACACUUGAUCAUACACAAAAAAAGGAAUUUCUUCUUCUCAUGAUAUUAAAAAUGUCUUUACAAAUGACUGUUAAGUGCUCUCAUUGUGUUUUUCUUUUAAAAGGUACUGUGAUACUUUAAACUGUCUUUACAGGAAAGUUUCAAUAAAAGCAUUUUGAAAUCUUC